GAUGAAGAACGUAGCGAAAUGCGAUAAGUAAUGCGAAUUGCAGAAUUCCGUGAAUCAUCGAAUCUUCGAACGCACAUUGCGCCCGCCAGUAUUCUGGCGGGCAUGCCUGUUCGAGCGUCAUUACAACCCUCAGGCCCCCGGGCCUGGCGUUGGGGAUCGGCGGAGCCCCCCGUGGGCACACGCCGUCCCCCAAAUGCAGUGGCGGUCCCGCCGCAGCUUCCAUCGCGUAGUAGCUAACACCUCGCGACUGGAGAGCGGCGCGGCCACGCCGUAAAACACCCAACUCUUCUGAAGUUGACCUCGAAUCAGGUAGGAAUACCCGCUGAACUUAAGCAUAUCAAUAAGCGGAGGA
rnacentral:misc_RNA from 1 species